rnacentral:lncRNA from 1 species
GUGAUUCCUCCGAUAAAGGCAAGAGAAUUGCACUCGAGGAUCAGUAAUCUGAGUACUUCGAAAAUUCCCAUUCUAGACAUUGUGAGUAACCUUAUCAUCAUUUUAAUUAUCUAAAGUAUGUUUUAACUUGGUUUUGAUGAAAUUUUAUGAAAUUGAGUUAAAUGGCUAAUUUUAGGUUUUAUAAACAAAAAUGUGUUUAAAUGAAAAGAUUUUAUAAAUUGUCUUGAAAGGAAAUAACGAUUUUGAAAUAGAGUAAUUGAAGACCACCGGUAUGUUGUAAAUUUGUGAUUAGAAAUUGAUGGCUUAUAUUAUAUUGUUAUUGCGUUAGCAUGAUUGGUUGGGCUGUAUUUUAUGAAUUGUAUGAAUUGUUUUAUUUUACCCUUGCAGGCUGGGUAGUAAAAUAUUAGCCCUGUCAUGCUAUGAAAAUUUUAUUGUAUGGUGGGUUUAGCUUGCUGCAAUAGGCAGAUUCUGUGGACCAACCUAUUAGAGGGGCACGAAAUUCGGAUAUAUAUAUGUACCUCGGUUGGAGAGGCGCGUAGGGUAUCUCUUGAGGUAUGGUUAGAGUUCACGUCACACCGAACCACCUCGUGAUGAUGAACUCCGCUAAAGCCAAGAAACGGCUGUGUUUUUCAAAAUAAUAAUUUGUUUAUGUGUAUACAAAACUUUUAACAGCCUUGGCGGACUCGGUUAGAUGCCUCAGCCAAGGUAUCCCCGAGAAUGAUUUUAGCAGGAGCCAAGCUUUUAAAAUACUCAUAAGCCAUGUUGAUUAUUUAAAUGAAAUGAGUAUUUAUGUUAUGAAAAACAUAUUUAGAUGAAAUGUUUUAAUAGUCUCUUUUUACUCGACUUUAGAUCUUUUGAAUGAUGUGUGUUUACUCACUGGAAUUAUAAAAUCUCACCACUCUCCUUUUCACCCAUUUCAGGUUCAAAUUAGGCUGUAGAUAGCUGAGUUCAUCGAGGACUACCCUUGGAUUUGCAUUCUUUCAAACUAUAGGUUCACAGUCCUCUUUACUUUUGGUUAUUCGGGGGCCCACUUGUUAUUGUAAAUUAAAUUAAAUACUUUGACUUACUGCAUUACAAUAUGUAUGAAUUUAUUUAGCUUUUACGUUAC